rnacentral:lncRNA from 1 species
UGCAUUCUCAUGGAUACUAGGUCGGUUUUGCCCAAAAGCCCUGCUCAGUCUCUGGGGUCAAGCUGGGUCUGACAGGAACUCGUGGGGACUUCGUGGGACAAGGGACUCUCCACAAUGGUCAGGAGACCCACAAGCCACAUGGGCGUGGACAGCAAAAAGGACACCAACCCGGGGCAAUUCACCCCACCCCUGAGGAGGGCAGAGCAGGCUGAGUGCCCCCCUGUGAACAGCCUGCACGGCCCCUCAAUUGGGAAUCAAGGCGACAGGAGCUCGGCUUCCACUCAGCAACCUGAAAUCAUCGCUCUAGAAACUGAGGCUCAGAGGGGACCACAGACUUCUCCCUGAAAAGGCCGCAAGCGCAGGAAGGCGUUUGAGCGAUUACUCGGCUCCGGGC